GUGACCUCAAAUCAGGUAGGACUACCCGCUGAACUUAAGCAUAUCAAUAAGCGGAGGAAAAGAAACUAACAAGGAUUCCCCUAGUAACUGCGAGUGAAGCGGGAAAGCUCAA
rnacentral:rRNA from 1 species